rnacentral:ncRNA from 1 species
CCGGCAUCGAGCGGGGCAGGUUACGCAUGCCCCGCGAGAGGGAACCCGGUGGAAGUCCGGGACUGUCCCGCAGCGGUGAGCAGGAACGACCGCCGUCACACGCACUGAUCGAAAGAUUGGGAAGCGACGGCCAGUAGGAGCACCGCCCGGUGCGCGCCUGCGAGUCCGAAGACCUGCCGGCUGUGCCGGGCGCGC